GCAAGGAUUGGAAAUUAAAGAAAAAUAAAAUGUAAAAAAAACAGCUACACUCUAAAUUGACGAGUCUGAAAAAUAUCUGAACUGGAUGCAUCAGGAAAUCAGCCGAUUGCUAAACGAUCGAUUAGUGACCGACCGCAAAGUUAAAAAUCAAGCCUUUCUUUCAGUCAGUGUUUGUCUACUGAGGCUGGCCUGGCAACACUCUUCAGUGUGAGCAUUGCUACUGAAAAAAACUUAAUCAAAGCUAGUCUGUCUGUUUUAUACUUUAAGUCCCGGUCUAUUUGCAUUGAAAAUAUGGAAAUAGGAAAUGUUACAAGUUUUUUGGAAAAAGGAUGAACAAUAAUACGGAAAACGCAGGAACCGAUGUUUAUUAUCUAUGCUAUCAAUGCUAAGCAAGCUAACAGUGCUCGUCACUCAUUUAAGAUGCUAAAGAAAGCUUAAAAUGUCAACUCUCUAACUUGUUUCUGUUUUCCUCCAACACACACUUGGUGUGACGAUGCCUCUGCUACUAAAUAACUAAUCAUUGAUCUGGACAGAAAGGCUCCUGUGUAGAAACAACGAGUUCAGAAGUGAUAUGAAAAAUCAGACUGUUUUCCUGUUCAAAUAAAUCUAAAUAAAUAUUUAUCUUUAGAAAGACGUGUUUCCACAAAUUAUGCCCCGUAAACAAGAAGGUUUUACUGGAUUUAUAGACCCGCUGUGGUGAUGAGACAGAAAUCUUUCAGCUGUUUGAGAAAAUGACACAAAAAAAAAUUCAGAAAGAAAGAAAAAUAUAACUUUGUUGGUAUUUACAGCUCCUACAGAGAGAUAUCAGCAUUUCUGUAGCUUGUUUUUGUAUUUAAAGGGCAAUGUUUAUUCAUAAAAAGCUGUAAACAAGUGAAAAAAUAAAUACGACUUACAAAUGAAAAGUUGACAAAAUCUAAAUUUAUGACUCCAUUGUAAACAAAACAGAAAAAUGUCUGCAGAUAUUUAGAGAAUAUAAUAAAGUCAUUCUUCAAGCCGUGGCUCUUAACAUCAACCUGUUCCCAGCAUUUAGACCAGACCAGUGAGAUUCCUUGGCUUUUUCUCCCUUCUGUCGGUUCCACAGAACAUAGAAAAGUAGGUUGCGUGUGUGUGGGUGGGUGUGUGUGUGUGUGGGUGGGCGUGUGGGUGCUGUCUCACCAUCUGAGUCGAUGCUGUUAAGUGCAGUGGGUGGGAUGAUUGAGACUCGACAUUGGCCCAGGGGACACACCUUCCCCAUUUGUUCUUUACAGCUGU